rnacentral:rRNA from 1 species
GCGAGCGUUGUUCGGAAUUAUUGGGCGUAAAGAGCGCGCAGGCGGUCCUUUAAGUCUGUGUGAAAACCCCCGGGUCAACCCCGGGGGGUCACUGGAAACUGGGNGACUUGAGUGCAGGAGAGGAAAGUGGAAUUCCCCGUGUAGCGGUGAAAUGCGUAGAGAUNUGGAGGAACACCAGUGGCGAAGGCGGCUUUCUGGUCUGUAACUGACGCUGAGGCGCGAAAGCGUGGGGAGCAAACAGGAUUAGAUACCCCGGUAGUCCACGCCCUAAACGAUGAGUGCUAAGUGUUAGGGGGUUUCNUCCCNUCAGUGCCGCAGCUAACNC